rnacentral:misc_RNA from 1 species
CGGACUACUCGGGUUUCUAAUCCUGUUUGCUCCCCACGCUUUCGAGCCUCAGCGUCAGUUACAAGCCAGAGAGCCGCUUUCGCCACCGGUGUUCCUCCAUAUAUCUACGCAUUUCACCGCUACACAUGGAAUUCCACUCUCCCCUCUUGCACUCAAGUUAAACAGUUUCCAAAGCGUACUAUGGUUAAGCCACAGCCUUUAACUUCAGACUUAUCUAACCGCCUGCGCUCGCUUUACGCCCAAUAAAUCCGGACAACGCUCGGGACCUACGUAUUACCGCGGCUGCUGGCACGUAGUUAGCCGUCCCUUUCUGGUAAGAUACCGUCACAGUGUGAACUUUCCACUCUCACACUCGUUCUUCUCUUACAACAGAGCUUUACGAUCCGAAGACCUUCUUCAC